UACGUAGGGGGCAAGCGUUGUUCGGAAUUACUGGGCGUAAAGGGCGCGUAGGUGGCCUUCUAAGUUGAACGUGAAAUCCCUGGGCUCAACCCAGGAACUGCGUCCAAGACUGGGAGGCUUGAAUCCGGGGGAGGGAUGCGGAAUCCCAGGUGUAGCGGUGAAAUGCGUAGAUAUCUGGAGGAACACCGGUGGCGAAGGCGGCAUCCUGGACCGGUAUUGACACUGAGGCGCGAAAGCCAGGGGAGCAAACGGA
rnacentral:rRNA from 1 species